rnacentral:rRNA from 1 species
UUAGUUAGUUGGCGGAGUAACAGCCCACCAAGACGAUGAUCAGUAGCUGGUCUGAGAGGACGAACAGCCACACUGGAACUGAGACACGGUCCAGACUCCUACGGGAGGCAGCAGUGAGGAAUUUUGCUCAAUGGGCGCAAGCCUGAAGCAGCGACGCCGCGUGAAUGAUGAAGUCUUUCGGGAUGUAAAGUUCUGUCGACAGGGACAAUAAUGAUGGUACCUGUAGAGGAAGCACCGGCAAACUAUGUGCCAGCAGCCGCGGUAAUACAUAGGGUGCAAGCGUUAUCCGGAUUUACCGGGCGUAAAGCGUAUGUAGGUGGUAUUAUAAGUCAAACUUCAAAUCCCGGGGCUCAACCUCGGUUCGGGUUUGAUACUGUAGUACUUGAGUUUGGGAGAGGAAAGCGGAACUAACAGUGUAGCGGUGAAAUGCGUAGAUAUUGUUAGGAACACCCGUGGCGAAGGCGGCUUUCUGGACCAAUACUGACACUGAGAUACGAAAGCGUGGGGAGCAAACAGGAUUAGAUACCCUGGUAGUCCACGCUGUAAACAAUGUACAUUAGGUAUAGGGGGUAUCGACUCCCUCUGUGCCGAAGCUAACGCGUUAAAUGUACCGCCUGGGGAGUACGGUCGCAAGAUUAAAACUCAAAGGAAUUGACGGGGGCCCGCACAAGCAGUGGAUCAUGUGGUUUAAUUCGACGAUACCCGAAAAACCUUACCAGAACUUGACAUCUAGGGAAUCCCAUAGAAGUAUGGGAGUGCUCGCAAGAGAACCCUAAGACAGGUGGUGCAUGGUUGUCGUCAGCUCGUGUCGUGAGAUGUUAGGUUAAGUCCUGCAACGAGCGCAACCCUCGUAUUGUGUUGCUACAUUUAGUUGAGCACUCUCAAUAGACUGCCCGUGGUAAACGGGAGGAAGGUGAGGAUGACGUCAAAUCAUCAUGCCCUUUAUGUUCUGGGCUACACACAUGAUACAAUGACAAGUACAAAGGGAUGCCAAACCGCAAGGUGGGGCAAAUCUCAUAAAACUUGCCUCAGUUCAGAUUGUAGGCUGCAACUCGCCUGCAUGAAGAUGGA